UCUUGGAUUUAUGAAAGACGAACAACUGCGAAAGCAUUUGCCAAGGAUGUUUUCAUUAAUCAAGAACGAAAGUUGGGGGCUCGAAGACGAUCAGAUACCGUCCUAGUCUCAACCAUAAACGAUGCCGACCGUGGAUCGGCGGAUGUUGCUUAUAGGACUCCGCCGGCACCUUAUGAGAAAUCAAAGUCUUUGGGUUCCGGGGGG
rnacentral:ncRNA from 1 species